GAAACAGCAUUUGAUAUCUUGCAGGGGAAAAAGUGUCCCAGCAAACAUAAACUAGUAAUCCAAGUGAACAAACUGUGUUGUAGGGUAUUUAUUUCCUUAGUCACCAAACAGGUUUUUGUGAAAGGGUAUUAAGAAGAAUAAAAUAAUAGUGAUUUCCAGUCUUUUGGAAAUGGUGUAAGAAGUUUUUUUUAUGGAUGCUAUAAGAUACAGAAGGAAUUUUCUUUCCAACAUGUUUUUUUCAGCAAUAUUUUCUCUAGUUGAGAUUUAAGGGAGGAACCAGACACCAGAUUUCAGUCACCAGAACUGUGCUCCAGAUCUCAAAGUAUUUAAUAGAUGCGUUCAAUCUGCCUCCCCCUGUGAACAAGUCCAAGGAAACCUCAGAAAAAAUGCCAAAUGUUUAAAAACUCAGCAGAGACUGAUAAAAAGAGAAGAAAGCAGAGGCCAGUUGUAGACACCAUAUACAAAAUAUCUUUAAACAUGAUUUUCCUGUGAGGUUUGUUUUGUUCACUUAAUGAAAAUGUCGUUAGCAGAGAUGUAGGAAUGAACCCAGCAGGGGAGUUGGCAUUUGACUUUAUUGAAGCAACCCUUGUCCCUUUUCACCCCACUUCCAUAUCACCUGUAUCUUCUGUGUAAUGACAAGGGUUAAUGAUAACACUGCAGAGGUCAAACACUGGAAGGUGAUUAAAAAAAUGAACUGUUUUCCAUACACCUUGGUUCAUUGAGUUCAAAGGCAAGAGAGCACACAGAUAUGCGUAUCUUGGUUUGGAUUACAACAAAGCUUCACCUGUGAGGCCAUUUGAAAAUGUGUGGGCUUGCACUACAGGGGAGCUGAGAGAAAACACCUAAAUGGUUACUACCAUCAGAACCAUCAGCAUGAAACUCACCUUGUCAGUCUGUGGCAGCCUGGAUCUGGGAGACCUUGCAAUGUCAGGUCUGGGAACACAUGGGAGACAUGCCUGGGCUGUUUAUUACUUCAGUGAUCAUUGUUGGAAGCAAUGAGUCUUACAGAAAGGAAAAAAUUCUGCAGGAAACAAAUCAACUUUUGGAUUUCAGGGAUCAGCCUGCUGGAAGGAAGAUACCACUGUAACCCUUGGUGAUCUACGAAUUUGCAAGGCGAAGAGAAAGGCUUUUAG